ACGGCUCAGUAACACGUCGGUAACCUACCCUCGGGAGGGGGAUAACCCCGGGAAACUGGGGCUAAUUCCCCAUAGGCCUGAGGUACUGGAAGGUCCUCAGGCCGAAAGGGACUUAUGUCCGCCCGAGGAUGGGCCGGCGGCCGAUUAGGUAGUUGGUGGGGUAAUGGCCCACCAAGCCGAAGAUCGGUACGGGCUGUGAGAGCAGGAGCCCGGAGAUGGACACUGAGACACGGGUCCAGGCCCUACGGGGCGCAGCAGGCGCGAAACCUCCGCAAUGCGGGAAACCGCGACGGGGGAUCCCGAGUGCCGUGGCAACGCCACGGCUUUUCCGGAGUGUAAAAAGCUCCGGGAAUAAGGGCUGGGCAAGGCCGGUGGCAGCCGCCGCGGUAAUACCGGCGGCCCAAGUGGUGGCCGCUAUUAUUGGGCCUAAAGCGUCCGUAGCCGGGCCCGUAAGUCCCUGGCGAAAUCCCACGGCUCAACCGUGGGGCUUGCUGGGGAUACUGCGGGUCUUGGGACCGGGAGAGGCGGGGGGUACCCCUGGGGUAGGGGUGAAAUCCUAUAAUCCCAGGGGGACCGCCAGUGGCGAAGGCGCCCCGCUGGAACGGGUCCGACGGUGAGGGACGAAGGCCAGGGGAGCAAACCGGAUUAGAUACCCGGGUAGUCCUGGCUGUAAAGGAUGCGGGCUAGGUGUCGGGUGAGCUUCGAGCUCGCCCGGUGCCGUAGGGAAGCCGUUAAGCCCGCCGCCUGGGGAGUACGG
rnacentral:rRNA from 1 species